CAUGGGUUUAACCGGCAUAAUUCUUAACCAGCAUAUGCAGCUCCUUCCUAGACACAGGUUUACGGUGAGGAAGGAUUUUAUGGCGAGGGGUAACUUUCUCAACGCAAAAAGUGGUGGGUGUAUGGAAUGUGCUGCCCGAAGAUGUAGUUGAGGCAGGGACUAUCAUUACGUUUAAGAAACAUUUAGACAGGUUCAUGCAUAGGACCGGUUUGAAGGGAUGGUGUGGGCAAGUGUGGUCGAAGAGCCGCUUUCCUCUUUAAAGACUCUAAUUAUUAGCAUAAACAUACUCCCAGAGUACCCCCAGAACGAAAGGGCUCAUCCCAACUGGUAAUAAAAUGACGUAUAAGAAGGAACUGCAGGUGCAGGUUUACACCGGACACAAAAAACGGGCAACUCAGCGGGAGAAGCAGCAUCUCUGAAGAGAAGGAAUGGGUGGCGUUUCGGGUCGAGAUCCUUCUUCAGAUUCAUCAGUAUUAAAGUGUUUAUGAUUUUAUCUGAAGGCCGGGCUGCGAUGUUACCAUAUCGUUGAGGUGUUAACGAUACUGUUGUUAACCUUAACGAUAGGUGUCAGACCCAGUCUGAAGAAGUGUUUCGACUCGAAAUGUCGCCUUUUCCUUUUCCCCAGAGAUGUUGUCUGACCCGCUGAGUUACUCCAGUUUUUUUGUGGCUGCGGAUUAAACCAGCGCCUGUGGUUCCUUCCCUUCACAAUCGUUAAGGUGUUUGCACAUUUGCAUCGGCUUGGACAAUCGGAGUCGACUCUGACAGGCAGCAGUCGAGGCGGGGAUGCGGAGUGCCGGCCGGCCGGCACGUCUACUCCUAUCGAAGCUCCUCCUGCCUUCAGCAGUCCGUCCUGGGGGGAGCAGUUCACGGGGCAACCGCAACUCCAGUUGACAGGCGGCUGGAGCAGCGAGUGGGAGCGCACCGCUGGUGAGCGUUCACCAGUGGCCGAGGCAGGGGAGGGCGGACCCUCGGGGAAGCGUCGCUGACCUAAAGUUGACCGUCUGCGCCAGUGAAAUGGAUCCGAGUUGAUUCAGGAAGAACAACCAGUCCUCCAUCUGGCCAGGUUGCAUCCCUCUGGACUCAACAGCACAAUAAAUGACCUUAGAAACCUUUGAAGGAUGGAGAUGGGAAGAUGCGACUAGUUGUAUUUCACUGUUCAGUUUUUGGCAUGUAUGCCAAUUAAAUACUGAUGACAAUGUUCAGCAGUUAUUACCAUUUGACUUUGAAGUCACGGUGGCGCAGUAGAGUUGCUGUCUUCGAGCGCCAGAGACCUGGGUUUGAUCCUGACUACGGGUGCCGUCUGUACGGAGUUUGUACGUUCGGCACGUGACCUGUGUGGGUUUUCUCCGGGAGCUCCAGUUUCCUUCCACACUCCAAAGACAUACAGGUUUGUAGGCUUGGUAAAAUUGUAAAUUGUCCCUAGUGUUAGUGUGUGCAGAUCGCUGGUCGGCACGGACUCGGUGGGCCAAACGUCCUGUUUCCACACUGUAUCUCUAAACUAAAUUAAACUAAAACUAAACCUUGGUUUAUCUGCUGCUGAACACUUCAACACUGUGCAAACUCCCAAUUUCCAAAACGUUGUCUGCUGACUGCCUAUCCUCCAUUUUCAAUAACAUUCAGCUCCUCUCUCCAAAAGUCUAUUUCCCAUGUGCCUUGGUACAUUGUCCUAUCUGCUCUUUGCCAAUAUUAUGUCAUAUGUUGGCUUUUGAUUUUUCAUUGGCUUUAAUUUUAUUGUGUGAUAAAUCCUUUUAUCACAAACAUUACAUUUUUCUGUGUUUUACGUGUGAAUUUUCCUUUCUCACAAGCGUUUUUAGAUAACUUCAGAACAUGGCACCUCGGUAAUUUAUUGAACUAUCCCACCUCCCCAACUACACAUCCUUUUUAAAAUUUGCAUAAGUAAGUAGCUAGUUAUUCUGAUUAAAGGAUCAAUGUCCAUUAUUUGAUUUGGUCUUUUAUGCUUUUAAAAAAUAUAUUAAGUGUGCUUAUUAACACAUGAAUUGUACGGAAACUAGAAAAUGUCGAAUUGAUCCUGGAACAUGCUUUUCCUAGGAAUGUGUUAAAGCACAUUGGUUUUGAAAUUAAUGUGUUUAUAUGUAUUUGCUGUUUUUCUGGAGGUGUUAAACUAGUUAAAAUAAAAAUGUGAUCUCAUCUAAAAAAUGCUUCCACUGGAUACUGAAAGUGAGAAAAUGUUUUCAUUUUCAAAACCAUGCUGGAUAAUUUCACUGAUGGAGAGGGAAUUUUGAAAUCUCUGUAUGAGACUCAUUAUUGAAUUUAUUAAAUCAACACCAGAACACUUGACACAUGGACAUUUGUCAGUUAAAAAUGAACGGGGGUGUCUAUAGCAAAUCUGCAUCUGAUAGUGUCAUAGGGAAAUUUUCCUGUUGAUUGAUUACGAAUGUAUUUCUUAGAGUGUAAUUAUUUUUUGCAAGCAUUGCAUGUCUGCAUUUGCUACUAUAAAGUACAAUUUAUCCAUGCCCAAGAUGAUAUACCUUUUAGACCUAUUUGCUUUUUUAAUUCUUAUUUCAAAUUCUUCACUAAUCUUAAUAAUUUCUUCGACCACCUCUAUCUCUUUUGAGAUGUGUGUUCCUCUAACUCUUGACCUGUUGAUGGUCCUUGAAUGUAAUUGCCCUACAUGCAUGUUAAUAGUUGUUAAGGCAUUAAACUUUCUAAUUCUUUCCAUGAAUCUGUGUUGCUAUGCCUCUCCAUUCAAUUGGAAGCAGUUCUCAUCUGCCUGUUAUCUUCCUUGGCCCAAUGGCAGUUUAUAUUUGUUCCUGUAAAGUGCUCUGGGAUGUUUUGUUGCAUUAAAGGUACUUUAUAAA